GGGGUAUAUAGUUUAACUGGUAAGACUUUGAUUUUGCAUAUCAAGAUUUCAGGUUCGAUUCCUGAUGUCUCCA
rnacentral:tRNA from 1 species